rnacentral:rRNA from 1 species
AUAUGCUUGUCUUAAAGAUUAAGCCAUGCAUGUCCAAGUAUAAGCCCCCAUGGGGUGAAACUGCGGAUGGCUCAUUAAAUCGGUUGGAAUCUACACGAGAGUGUAAGUUAAACGGAUAACCACGGAAAAUCUGCGGCUAAUACGUGCAUAAAAAUGGACUCCUGGUCCAUUGCAUUUAUCAGAUUGAGAGGAUAGGGAGUAAUCCCUAACUUGAAUGAUGAUAAACCUAAAUUGCGGAUCGUACGAGCUCUGACUCGACGACAAUUCGUUCGACUUUCCGCCCUAUCAACUUUGGAUGGUAGUGUAGUGGACUACCAUGGUGGUUACGGGUGACGGAGAAUUGGGGUUCGAUUCCGGAGAGGGAGCCUGAGAGAUGGCUACCACUUCCAAGGAAGGCAGCAGGCGCGAAAAUUGCCAAACCUACAAAGUAGGAGGCAGUGACAAUAAAUAUCGGAGGGUCAAAUGAUCCGACUGGAAUGAGAUGGAUGUAAAUAAAUCUACGAGAAACAAUUGGAGGACAAGUCUGGUGCCAGCACCCGCGGUAAUUCCAGCUCCAAGAGCGUAUAUUCAAUUUGCUGCAGUUAAAAAGCUCGUAGUUGGGUGAGGGGAAGGAGUUAGAAGGAGGUGAGGUAGAGAUAUCUCACUGAAUUCAUCCUUCUCAUUUUGGAGGGAAUUUGUUGGUAGGUGUCCUUAACUGGAUGCUUACUAUACACCCUCCCGUUGACCGUGCUUAAAUUCGCGUGUUCAAAGCAGGCAUCUUAUUUGCUUGUAGAGUCUAGCAUGGGAUCAUAUAAUAUGGAACCUGAGGAGACCCCUUUCGUCUCCUCAUUCAAUGACAAAUAGGGGCAAGCGGGGGUGGAGGGACUCCGUUGUUAGAGGUGAAAUUCUUAGACCAACGGAAGACCAACAGAAGCCAAAGCGUCCAUCAAGGGUGUGCCCAUUGAUCAAGAACGAAAGUUAGGGGAUCAAAUACGAUCAGACACCGUAGUAGUCCUAACCUUAAACGAUACCGACCGGGGAU